GUAAAAAAUGAUUUUUUGACCUUGUAAAUAAAGGUAGCAUGAUUUAAGUAAAUUUUACAAACAAAUCAUAUUUAUUCUUUUUACUUAAAAAUGUCACGUUUAAUUCAAUAUGGUACUUGAGGCUUCUUUUUAAUUUAUUGUGCUUAAAUACAUAAAUAAAUUCAACUGGAACUGCCCAAGUAAUAUUUACUAGUGUUUUGUCAUCUAAUGAACUAAUGCAAAAAAAUGACGAACGCAAGUAAAACUUACUCCAAGAAGCCAGGCAAUCCAAGCGCAUGCGCAUUGAUUUCUUGGUACAGAAUCAGAUUCAGAAGUGGCGCGAAGAAGAAAGCAACGGGAACUUUUCUUGAAGACUGAUGUGAUUUUUACACGGUAAGUUAUGAAAUAUUUGUUUAUUUGGUCGAUUUAGUUACAUUUGCAGAACCUAUCUGCAGCUGGUGGUUAGUAAAGCGUUAAGUUAACUGUUAACAUAGUUGACAGAGUUGAGUUUUUGCAUAACUUAAACAUCCGUUAUUAGCAAACGCCAUCUCUGUGUCGAAAACAAUUGUCUUGUAUUUUACAUAUAGGUUGUUAAUAAACACGUUAAUAUACGGAGACGUUUGAUGUAGGCUACAGUGAAUUUUAAAAUGAACUUUGCCCCCGCGUCGAGACAAAUAGCGUCCAAGGGUGUGUGUUUAUUCAUCUGUGUGAAUAAAUAAUCGUGACCUUGCGUGUUAUCAGAAUUAUAAAUGAAAGUUUAAAUUAAAAUUGGACACGAUGUAAUUUAGGCCUACAGCCUUGGAAGUCGCGGUUAACGUUACGAGCCUGGAAUGAUAACUCACCCGUGCCCAGCGUGACGGAGAACUGUUAAUCCCCCAUUAAUUCACAUCAAUAGACUACUUUGUUUUAUCGAUAAAAUAGAUAAGCAUAUGAUGAUAAUCAAGUUAAAGAAGAGAUUAUAUUGAACCUAUAACGUUACAAUUAACAAUGCUGUCUUGAACAUUUAAUGUUGAUGCUUAGGCUAACGUUACUUGAAUGCAGUUGUUCCAAAACAAAUAACUGUUCAUAUUUCAAAUCGAUAAGAUCAGUAUAUUUAUUCAAAAUUGGUAAAACAUAUAUUUCUGACAUUAACAUUUCUAAUGUUUUCACAGAUUGCACUCACUAUCCAAGCUCCAUGCAAGCAAAUUGAAGAUAAGAGAGAUGCUGUGAUUCGCUGCCUUCUUUCCUACCUUGGAGAGUCAUCUGAAGAACUCAUUGAAGUCUACCAGGAUGUAAGCAGAGACAUGAUUAAAGAUAACAUCACCAAUAAUGUUAUGAAGAUCAUUGUACUGGGCAACACUGCAGGCCAACAUCGCUGAUGUCAUCGUCGUCAUUGAGGGAACUGAGGUGCUGUUGGGAUGUAAGAAUCUCACAAAUGCGUGCCUUCUGCUCAUGGGCUUCAUUUACGCCCUGAACUUAAGCUAUCCACCAAAGCUGAGAAACACAUUUGAAGUCUUUCAAAAAAUCUUUCUUGGGCUGGAUGCUUUAAAGUUUUCUCCAAAAGUUAGCUCUUUGCAUAGAAAACAGAAGCAGAGUUUUAUUUCAAUGCUGUAUGUGAGAUCAGUUAAGCAUCUUGCAUAAAAUGUUUGGUCUGUUAUGACCUACACAAAGACAUUAAAACAUCUGUGAUGGUUUAAAGAUGCUGAACAAUUUUGGUCGUAUUUUUUGGCCAAUAGCAGAUAAUCUUGAUGUGUCCAUUUCUUUUUUGUGCACUUGUUUUUCGAGAAUUUAAUUAAAAUAAAACUGUAA